AUUGAACGCUGGCGGCAGGCCUAACACAUGCAAGUCGAACGAGUGGCGGACGGGUGAGUAAUGUCUGGGAAACUGCCCGAUGGAGGGGGAUGACUACUGGAAACGGUAGCUAAUAACGCAUACCAUCGGAUGUGCCCAGAUGGGAUUAGCUAGUAGGGGGGGUAACGGCUCACCUAGGCGACGAUCCCUAGCUGGUCUGAGAGGAUGACCGGCCACACUGGAACUGAGACACGGUCCAGACUCCUACGGGAGGCAGCAGUGGGGAAUAUUGCACAAUGGGCGCAAGUCUGAUGGAGCCACGCCGCGUGUAUGAAGAAGGCCUUCGGGUUGUAAAGUACUUUCAGCGGAGAAGCGUUACCCACAGAGGAAGCACCGGCUAACUCCGUGCCAGCAGCCGCGGUAAUUC
rnacentral:rRNA from 1 species